GGAAACUCCUUCUGGCAAGUGAAAGAAGCUCAGUGUGACUGGGGUAGAGUUGACAAAGGAAAGAGACCCACAGCAAGUGUUGGACAACCAGGAAUGAAAUUCAGGGCUGACUGCCAACGGCCUGUAGGACGAGAUGCACAGUUGUCCUACGGAUUAUUCUUCGGUUAAGCUUACUCAUCCAGCAGGACCCAAUCUCAGCCACAAGAAUGCAGCCCUCAGCCUUCAUUACCAGCUACUGGGGCUUUGCUGUGAUUUGCCAUCGCUGGAGAAUGUGGUUAAGUCUAUGGACUUUCUUCCUCUAAAAUGUCUUCAUCUGUAGUCGAGAGUGAGGGUUUUAUCACUCUCCAGUUCCACGCUCAAGGACAAAUCUUGGAGGUUUUCCUUUCUUAUCAUCACUGAUUUUCAGGUAUUAAAAAAAAAAGAAAAAGAAAAAGAAAACAACAAAAAAACCACCACCACCAUCACCACCCAAGUAACAAGAGAACACCACACUGUAUUCCCUGUUCAGCCUCAGGAGUCUGUUUCCAAAGAACACUGUGAGCUGUGAGAGCUGGCAAUAGCAAACACAGCUAAGAUAGCUCCUUUGCAUGGUGAGAUUCCUAUCCAGUAGUUCCUAUCCCUAGAGGACGCCUGCAAGCAGGGAUACAAACCCUAUACAUACUGUGUUUUUUGCUAUAUGUACACUCCUAUGAUAAAGCUUACUUCAUAAAUUAGGCACCUUGAGAGACCAAUAACUAACAAUAAAAAGAAAC
ensembl:lincRNA uncharacterized LOC101691779